UUCGGCGUGCUUAACACAUGCAAGUCGAACGGAAAGGCCCUGCUUUUGUGGGGUGCUCGAGUGGCGAACGGGUGAGUAACACGUGAGUAACCUGCCCUUGACUUUGGGAUAACUUCAGGAAACUGGGGCUAAUACCGGAUAGGAGCUCCUGCUGCAUGGUGGGGGUUGGAAAGUUUCGGCGGUUGGGGAUGGACUCGCGGCUUAUCAGCUUGUUGGUGGGGUAGUGGCUUACCAAGGCUUUGACGGGUAGCCGGCCUGAGAGGGUGACCGGCCACAUUGGGACUGAGAUACGGCCCAGACUCCUACGGGAGGCAGCAGUGGGGAAUAUUGCACAAUGGGCGGAAGCCUGAUGCAGCAACGCCGCGUGCGGGAUGACGGCCUUCGGGUUGUAAACCGCUUUCGCCUGUGACGAAGCGUGAGUGACGGUAAUGGGUAAAGAAGCACCGGCUAACUACGUGCCAGCAGCCGCGGUGAUACGUAGGGUGCGAGCGUUGUCCGGAUUUAUUGGGCGUAAAGGGCUCGUAGGUGGUUGAUCGCGUCGGAAGUGUAAUCUUGGGGCUUAACCCUGAGCGUGCUUUCGAUACGGGUUGACUUGAGGAAGGUAGGGGAGAAUGGAAUUCCUGGUGGAGCGGUGGAAUGCGCAGAUAUCAGGAGGAACACCAGUGGCGAAGGCGGUUCUCUGGGCCUUUCCUGACGCUGAGGAGCGAAAGCGUGGGGAGCGAACAGGCUUAGAUACCCUGGUAGUCCACGCUGUAAACGGUGGGUACUAGGUGUGGGGUCCAUUCCACGGGUUCCGUGCCGUAGCUAACGCUUUAAGUACGCGAGCGGGCGAGUUCGGCUGCAAGGGUAAUACUCAAAGGAAUUGACGGGGCCUCGCACAAGCGUCGGAGCAUGCGGAUUAAUUCGAUGCAACGCGUAGAACCUUACCUGGGUUGGACAUGGAUCGGGAGUGCUCAGAGAUGGGUGUGCUUGUUUUGGGGUCGGUUCACAGGUGGUGCAUGGCUGUCGUCAGCUCGUGUCGUGAGAUGUUGGGUUAAGUUCCGCAACGAGCGCAACCCUUGUUCAAUGUUGCCAGCUCGUUAUGGUGGGGAUUCAGUGGAGACCGCCGGGGUCAUCUCGGAGGAAGGUGGGGAUGAGGUCAAGUCAUCAUACCCAUUAUGUCCAGGGCUUCACGCAUGCUACAAUGGAUGGUACAGAGAGUGGCGAGCCUGUGAGGGUGAGCGAAUCUGGGAAAGCCGGUGUCAGUUCGGAUUGGGGUCUGCAACUUGCCGUCAUGAAGUCGGAGUCGAUAGUAAUGGCAGAUCAGCAACGAUGCGGUGAAUACGUUCCCGGGUCUUGUACACACCGUCCGUCAAGUCAUGAAAGUUGGUAUCACCCGAAGCCGGUGGCCUAACCGUUGUGGGGGAGCCGUGGAAGGUGGGACUGGUGAUU
rnacentral:rRNA from 1 species